rnacentral:rRNA from 1 species
GCGAGUAAUGUCGGGAACUCCAGGGAGACUGCCGGUGAUAAACCGGAGGAAGGUGGGGACGACGUCAAGUCAUCAUGGCCCUUACGAGUAGGGCUACACACGUGCUACAAUGGCGCAUACAGAGGGCAGCCAACUUGCGAAAGUGAGCGAAUCCCAAAAAGUGCGUCGUAGUCCGGAUUGGAGUCUGCAACUCGACUCCAUGAAGUCGGAAUCGCUAGUAAUCGUGGAUCAGAAUGCCACGGUGAAUACGUUCCCGGGCCUUGUACACACCGCCCGUCACACCAUGGGAGUGGGCUGCAAAAGAAGUAGGUAGUUUAACCUUCGGGGGGACGCUUACCACUUUGUGGUUCAUGACUGGGGUGAAGUCGUAACAAGGUAGCGCUAGGGGAACCUGGCGCUGGAUCACCUCCUUAAACGAUGAU